AUGACUCUCGGCAACGGAUAUCUCGGCUCUCGCAUCGAUGAAGAACGUAGCGAAAUGCGAUACUUGGUGUGAAUUGCAGAAUCCCGUGAACCAUCGAGUCUUUGAACGCAAGUUGCGCCCGAAACCAUUAGGUUGAGGGCACGUCUGCCUGGGUGUCACRC
rnacentral:rRNA from 1 species